GACGAACGCUGGCGGCGUGCUUAACACAUGCAAGUCGAACGGAAAGGCCCCUUCGGGGGUACUCGAGUGGCGAACGGGUGCGUAACACGUGAGUAACCUGCCCUUGACUUCGGGAUAACUUCAGGAAACUGGGGCUAAUACCGGAUAGGAAUCCUUGCUGCAUGGUGGGGGUUGGAAAGCUUCGGCGGUUUUGGAUGGACUCGCGGCUUAUCAGCUUGUUGGUGGGGUAGUGGCUUACCAAGGCUUUGACGGGUAGCCGGCCUGAGAGGGCGACCGGCCACAUUGGGACUGAGAUACGGCCCAGACUCCUACGGGAGGCAGCAGUGGGGAAGAUUGCACAAUGGGCGGAAGCCUGAUGCAGCAACGCCGCGGGCGGGAUGACGGCCUUCGGGUUGUAAACCGCGUUCAGCAGGGGCGAAGCUUGUGGUGACGGUACCUGCAGAAGAAGCACCGGCUAACUACGUG
rnacentral:rRNA from 1 species